CCUACGGGAGGCAGCAGUGAGGAAUAUUGGUCAAUGGACGAGAGUCUGAACCAGCCAAGUCGCGUGAAGGAUGACUGCCCUAUGGAUUGUAAACUUCUUUUAUCUGGGAAUAAAAUGUUCCACGUGUGGGCUUUUGUAUGUACCAUAUGAAUAAGGAUCGGCUAACUCCAUGCCAGCAGCCGCGGUAAUACGGAGGAUCCGAGCGUUAUCCGGAUUUAUUGGGUUUAAAGGGAGCGUAGGUGGAUUGUUAAGUCAGUUGUGAAAGUGUGCGGCUCAACCGUAAAAUUGCAGUUGAAACUGGCAGUCUUGAGUACAGGAGAGGUGGGCGGAAUGCGUGGGGUAGCGGUGAAAUGCAUAGAUAGCACGAAGAACUCCGAUUGCGAAGGCAGCACACGGGACUGCAACUGACACUGAUGCUCGAAAGUGUGGGUAUCGAACAGGAUUAGAUACCCCUGUAGUC
rnacentral:rRNA from 1 species